rnacentral:rRNA from 1 species
GUUUGAUCCUGGCUCAGAACGAACGCUGGCGGCAGGCCUAACACAUGCAAGUCGAGCGCGCCCUUCGGGGUGAGCGGCGGACGGGUUAGUAACGCGUGGGAACGUGCCCAGAUCUAAGGAAUAGCCACUGGAAACGGUGAGUAAUACCUUAUACGCCCUUCGGGGGAAAGAUUUAUCGGAUUUGGAUCGGCCCGCGUUAGAUUAGGUAGUUGGUGGGGUAAUGGCCUACCAAGCCUACGAUCUAUAGCUGGUUUUAGAGGAUGAUCAGCAACACUGGGACUGAGACACGGCCCAGACUCCUACGGGAGGCAGCAGUGGGGGAAUCUUGGACAAUGGGGGGCAACCCUGAUCCAGCCAUGCCGCGUGAGUGAUGAAGGCCUUAGGGUCGUAAAGCUCUUUCGCCUGUGAUGAUAAUGACAGUAGCAGGUAAAGAAACCCCGGCUAACUCCGUG